rnacentral:lncRNA from 1 species
UUUUUGGAAUUUUUGAAUAUCAAAAAGCAUUUAAAAUGAAUUAAAAACUAAUAAAAACAAAAUAAUUCACAAAAAAUAUUAAAUGGGAUCAAAAAAAUAAUUAAAAAUAAGAUUAUGAAACUAGGUUUUAAAAGAAUUUUUUUGAAAUUGGUCUCAUAUUUUUGUGAUUCCAAAUAAAAGAGUUAUGAAUUUUUGAAAAUAAAUGG